AACGCACCUUGCGCCCCUUGGUAUUCCGAGGGGCAUGCCUGUUUGAGUGUCAUUAAAUCCUCAACCCCUCCGAUUCGUUUCGGUGGGGAUUGGACUUGGAGCGUGCUGGCGAAGGUCGGCUCCUCUUUAAAUGCAUCAGCGGAGAAAAUGCCUUUUGCGCCUCUGGCCGUUCAGCGUGAUAAUGACGUUGCGCUGCGGUCGAGCUUAAGGUCCGCUUCCAAAGGUCCUCUCGGACGAUAUAUACAUAUGACUUUUGACCUCAAAUCAGGUAGGACUACCCGCUGAACUUAA
rnacentral:misc_RNA from 1 species